AUUACAAAGAAAAAUUAAAAGUCUUUUCUUAAACUCUGAAGCCUUGCUGAUGUUUUUGGAUUUCGUGAGGAAGGGUAUUCCAAAGACAUAUGGAAAAAUUGCCUUUCAAUAAAAAAAUACAUCUGGGUAGUAUUCCCGUAGGCUUUUGUCAAUCUUCUACAUUAUUUUGGGAGAUAACUUCAGUUGUGAGAUGAUCUUUGGUGCUUUAGUGUUGUCCGUCGGUGUAUAAGAUGAAGACUAUACUAAUGAAUAAAUAUUUUUCGUGAAAAAUUA